rnacentral:rRNA from 1 species
ACUUAAAUUGAAGAGUUUGAUCAUGGCUCAGAUUGAACGCUGGCGGCAGGCCUAACACAUGCAAGUCGAGCGGUAGCACAGAGAGCUUGCUCUCGGGUGACGAGCGGCGGACGGGUGAGUAAUGUCUGGGAAACUGCCUGAUGGAGGGGAUAACUACUGGAAACGGUAGCUAAUACCGCAUAACGUCGCAAGACCAAAGUGGGGGACCUUCGGGCCUCAUGCCAUCAGAUGUGCCCAGAUGGGAUUAGCUAGUAGGUGGGGUAACGGCUCACCUAGGCGACGAUCCCUAGCUGGUCUGAGAGGAUGACCAGCCACACUGGAACUGAGACACGG